rnacentral:lncRNA from 1 species
AUUCCCAGUUGCUCAUCAUACAAUAUUGCUAUUAUUGUGUGUGGCUGGUUCUUUUCACUUCACCAUGCAUCAGUUCAUGGCUGGGAGAGACAACAGAGGUCACCUAACCCAACUGGCCCAUCUAAUGGAAAAGGAAAUGGAGUAUCAAAGAGACCAAGUGAUUUCUCAAGGUAAGAUAAGAGAUAAAUUUCAGUGCUAGAAUUUGAGUCCUGGUUUUCUGCUUCCAAAUCCUCUCUUCUUUCCCCUAAAAGGAAUAAGGAAUUACUGUGGCCAUUUGAUGGAUUAGUAAAUUGAGACUUUGAGAUGUUCAAUGGCUUACCUAAGAUCACAAAGUUCAUUGGUGGUCAAUCUGGGAUGCUUUCCUGUACUAUGCUGAUUUAUAUGAUGUGGGAACAUCAGAUAAUUGGCUGACUCUGCUUAGCUGUUCCAGCAUUAUGGAGCUAAUAGGAGAAUAGAUUCAGAUCACAAAAGUAAUUUCUAGGCUAUCUAGCCUAUAAGCUGUCUUCUGUUCCAGUGGAAGAACUAGGACCUUGAGAUAUUAAACGACUGGCCCAAAGUCACAUAGGUAGGCUGUAGAAGGGACUUUUUUUUUAAACCUUUACCUUCCAUCUUAGAAUCAAUACUGCUUAUUGGUUCCAAGGCAGAAGGACAAUAAGGGAUAGGCAAUGGGGGGUUGCAUAGUAAGGACGUAUCUGAGGGCAGAUUUUGGACCCAGGACCUUCCUUCUCUAGGCCUGGCUCUCAAUCCACUGAGCUACCCAGCUGCCCCUAAGAAGGGGCUUUUGAAUGUAGUAUUCUUUCUAUUGGGCCACACUUUGCUUUAACAAAUUUGACCUUCAGAUCUCAAGAUCCCUUCUGCAUUGUGAUUUCACA